UACGUAGGGUGCAAGCGUUGUCCGGAAUUAUUGGGCGUAAAGAGCUCGUAGGCGGUCUGUCGCGUCUGCUGUGAAAACUCAGGGCUUAACCCUGAGCUUGCAGUGGGUACGGGCAGACUAGAGUGCGGUAGGGGAGACUGGAAUUCCUGGUGUAGCGGUGAAAUGCGCAGAUAUCAGGAGGAACACCGGUGGCGAAGGCGGGUCUCUGGGCCGAUACUGACGCUGGAGGGAGCGAAAGCCGUGGGGAGCGAACAGG
rnacentral:rRNA from 1 species